rnacentral:rRNA from 1 species
CAGUCGCCACGGUAAUACGAGGGGGGCAAGCGUUGUUCGGAAUUAUUGGGCGUAAAGGGCGCGUAGGCGGUUUGGCAAGUUUGGUGUGAAAUCUUCGGGCUCAACUCGAAGUCUGCACCGAAAACUGCCGGGCUUGAGUAUGGGAGAGGUGAGUGGAAUUUCCGGUGUAGCGGUGGAAUGCGUAGAUAUCGGAAGGAACACCUGUGGCGAAAGCGGCUCACUGGACCAUUACUGACGCUGAGGCGCGAAAGCUAGGGGAGCAAACAGGAUUAGAUACCCCCGGUAGUCCCUGUCUCUUAUA